CCGCCCGGCGUGUCUGUGGAGCAAGCCUGACUUGCCGGGGUACAGCAAGGCAAUUGCCACGGGUUGGGUAGUCGAUGGCAUCAGUGAGUAUCAUCAGUAUCAUCAUUGUCACUAACAUAGUUCGUCAGUAACAUCCGCCCGGCGUGUCUGUGGAGCAAGCCUGACUUCCCGGGGUACAGCAAAGCUAUCGCCACGGGUUGGGUAGUCGAUGGCAUCAGUGAGUAUCAUCAGUAUCAUCAUUGUCACUAACAUAGUUCGUCAGUAACAUCCGCCCGGCGUGUCUGUGGAGCAAGCCUGACUUCCCGGGGUACAGCAAAGCUAUCGCCACGGGUUGGGUAGUCGAUGGCAUCAGUGAGUAUCAUCAGUAUCAUCAUUGUCACUAACAUAGUUCGUCAGUAACAUCCGCCCGGCGUGUCUGUGGAGCAAGCCUGACUUGCCGGGGUACAGCAAGGCAAUUGCCACGGGUUGGGUAGUCGAUGGCAUCAAUGUGCCAUGGGACGCAUUAAACUCACUCAUGAAGAUGCCGUUCCGCCUUCUGGAUUCAAACUUCUGCAACAAAACUUUUGAGAAGUACCAACAGGAAUGGUGGGGAGUCUCAGACGAGCAGUUGUGCGUCGAAAAACUGAACGCAUCAUACGGCAUGUGCACGGGUCCCCCCGGUUCGCCGCUGCAGGUGGUGUCACGCUCUGACAAGUGCAUCGUUCAUGUUGUGGGUGUGACGUCACUGAAUAUAAUUCAAGCAAAUCACUGUCUCAUCCCUACACUGGUAUCGCGAGCAGUGCACGUCCGCUCCGGUCUAGCGCCAAUGACAGACUGCCCACAAACACUACAUCAGUCAUAGUAUCAAAUUCGUUUGCAGGGCCCCACCGGUUCGCCGCUGCAGUUGGUGUCACGCUCCGACAAGUGCAUCGUUCAUGUUGUGGGUGUGACGUCACUGAAUGGGCAUUUGAAGGACCUCGUCCUUACUAUAAUAUAAUAGAAGCAUAUCACUGUCAAGCAGUGCACGACCGCUCCGGCCUAGCGCCAAUGACAGACUGCCUACAAACACUACAUCAGUCAUAGUAUCAAAUUCGU